AGCUCCAAUAGCGUAUAUUAAUGUUGUUGCAGUUAAAAAGCUCGUAGUUGAAUUUCUGGUUAAUAUAUUAGCUGGCUUUGGUCGUUAAUGUCUUAAUCAUCCGUUAGAGAACUAUAACCGUCCUUAACUGGUCAUUAUAGAGAUCUAACAUUUUACUUUGAAAAAAUUAGAGUGUUCAAGGCAGGCAAUCGUCAUGAAUACUAUAGCAUGGAAUAAUGGAAUAGGACUUUGGUUCAUUUUAUUGGUUAUUGAACCUUAGUAAUGAUUAACAGGGACAGUUGGGGGCAUUAGUAUUUAAUUGUCAGAGGUGAAAUUCUUGGAUUUAUUAAAGACUAACUUAUGCGAAAGCAUUUGCCAAGGAUGUUUUCAUUA
rnacentral:rRNA from 1 species